rnacentral:rRNA from 1 species
AGUGAACGCUGGCGGUAGGCCUAACACAUGCAAGUCGAACGGCAGCACAGUAAGAGCUUGCUCUUACGGGUGGCGAGUGGCGGACGGGUGAGGAAUACAUCGGAAUCUACUUUUUCGUGGGGGAUAACGUAGGGAAACUUACGCUAAUACCGCAUACGACCUACGGGUGAAAGCAGGGGAUCUUCGGACCUUGCGCGAUUGAAUGAGCCGAUGUCGGAUUAGCUAGUUGGCGGGGUAAAGGCCCACCAAGGCGACGAUCCGUAGCUGGUCUGAGAGGAUGAUCAGCCACACUGGAACUGAGACACGGUCCAGACUCCUACGGGAUGCAGCAGUGGGGAAUAUUGGACAAUGGGCGCAAGCCUGAUCCAGCCAUACCGCGUGGGUGAAGAAGGCCUUCGGGUUGUAAAACCCUUUUGUUGGGAAAGAAAAGCAGCAGGUUAAUACCCCGCUGUUCUGACGGUACCCAAAGAAUAAGCACCGGCUAACUUCGUG